AGCAGCCGCGGUAAUUCCAGCUCCAAUAGCGUAUAUUAAAGUUGUUGCAGUUAAAAAGCUCGUAGUUGAAUUUCGGGAUCAGUAUGUUGGUCGUGCUUCGGUACGUACUGUCAUUACUGGUUUCUACCUUCUGAAGAACCUUGAUGUCAUUAAUUUGGUGUCUUGGGGAAUCAGGACUGUUACUUUGAAAAAAUUAGAGUGUUUAAAGCAAGCAUACGCUUGAAUACAUUAGCAUGGAAUAAUGAAAUAGGACGUUUGAUUCUAUUUUGUUGGUUUCUAGGAUCGACGUAAUGAUUAAUAGGGAUAGUUGGGGGCAUUAGUAUUCAAUUGUCAGAGGUGAAAUUCUUGGAUUUAUUGAAGACUAACUACUGCGAAAGCAUUUGCCAAGGAUGUUUUCAUUAAUCAAGAACGAAAGUUAGGGGAUCGAAGACGAUCAGAUACCGUCGUAGUCUUAACCAUAAACUAUGCCGACUAGGGAUCGGAUGAUGUAUUUUAAUGA
rnacentral:rRNA from 1 species